AUGAAGGCCACCACUAUACUCACGCUCUCCUCGUCCCCUGCCGCCGCGGCCCGCCGCUCGCCGGCGAGGGCGACCAUCUCCGACCCCCACCUCCGGCAGUACCCCGUCCGCACUUCCCGCCUCCGCGUUGCCCAGAGCCUGGCCUCACGUCCCCUAUCCUCGGGUUGGAGGCGGCGCCGGAGGGGGAGCGGGCUGGUGGUGCGGGCAGAGACGUUCGGGCAGCUCACCACCGGGCUCGAUUCCGCGUGGAACAAGCUGCGUGGCGUCGAUGUGCUGACGAAGGAAACCAUUGUGGAGCCGAUGCGGGACAUCAGAAGAGCACUUCUGGAAGCAGAUGUUAGUUUGCCGGUCGUCAGACGGUUCGUGUCGUCUGUGAGCGAGAAGGCUUUAGGUUCAGAUGUUAUCCGAGGAAUCCGACCAGAGCAGCAAUUAGUCAAGAUUGUGCAUGAUGAACUUGUUCAACUGAUGGGUGGAGAGGUAUCAGACUUGGUGUUCGCAAAAACUGGCCCAACGGUCAUCCUACUGGCAGGUCUGCAAGGUGUUGGGAAGACUACUGUUUGUGCAAAACUUGCAUUCUAUCUGAAGAAACUGGGGAAGAGUUGUAUGCUGGUCGCUGCAGAUGUUUACAGGCCUGCUGCCAUUGAUCAACUCACUGUACUGGGUGAACAGGUGGGUGUGCCAGUUUACUCGGAAGGAACCACGGCCAAACCUGCAGAAAUAACCAAGAAUGCCGUGGAAGAGGCGAAAAGAAAUAAUAUUGAUGCGAUCGUAGUGGAUACUGCUGGCAGACUGCAGAUUGAUAAAACAAUGAUGGUUGAAUUGAAAGAAGUAAAGAAGGCAGUUAAUCCUACAGAGAUUUUGCUUGUUGUUGAUGCCAUGACUGGCCAGGAAGCUGCAGCAUUGGUCACAACCUUCAAUAUUGAAAUUGGUAUAUCCGGUGCUAUAUUGACUAAAUUGGAUGGUGAUUCCAGGGGUGGAGCAGCACUUAGUGUUAAAGAGGUGUCUGGAAAGCCCAUCAAAUUUGUAGGGCGAGGGGAGCGAAUGGAGGACCUUGAGCUUUUCUAUCCCGACCGCAUGGCACAACGUGUUUUGGGAAUGGGAGAUGUCCUUUCAUUUGUUGAAAAAGCACAAGAAGUCGUUCGCCAAGAGGAUACCAUGGAACUGCAGAAGAAGAUCAUGAGUGCGAAAUUUGACUUCAAUGACUUUUUAAAGCAGACACAAAAUGUUGCCAAAAUGGGAUCCAUGAGCCGUGUAAUCGGAAUGAUUCCAGGCAUGAACAAGGUUACUCCUGCACAAAUCCGGGAAGCUGAGAAAAGACUUGCAUUCGUAGAGUCGAUGAUCAAUGCAAUGACAGCCGAGGAAAGGGAAAAACCCGAGUUACUGGCCGAAUCACGCGAGAGGAGGAUUAGGGUAGCAGAGGAGUCUGAUAAGACAGAACAAGAGGUGAGCCAACUGGUCGCGCAGCUCUUCCAAAUGCGCGCGCAGAUGAAGAAAUUGAUGGGUAUGAUGCAAGGGCAAGAAGCAAUUGCAGGAAUGGGAGAUCUCAUGGACUCGCUCAAUGCUGACGAGAAGGCACCUCCUGGCACCGCACGGCGGAGGAGACGGCGGAGCGAGCCGCCGCGGCAGAGGGAGCUGGAUGCAGUGGGUGGCGCCAGUAGGCCUUGA
rnacentral:rRNA from 1 species